UAUAUAACUGAUUUCUCCAUUUUUCUGUCAAACUAUGUAAUUAGGGAAACAUCAUUCUUCCUAAGACUCUUCAAGGCUUUACUUAACCCAAUUGAGACAGGGAUUCUUCUCAAGACGUAUCAUCCCCUUUCCUCACAAACUUCUCCUACAUAAAAUGUUUAAAGAAAAUAACCCUUAUUUCUUCACACAUUGAUAACACUGCCUCCUGCCCUCACACUGUUCACAUUCACAGUUUGGAGAAAUGACUGUCAGUCUCACUGGGCCACUGUGGGUGGGGCUUCCUGUUAAGAUGAAUGACAGAGCUCAGGUGUGAUUGGUGCUCAGUGAGUCUGGUGGAACCUGAUGACAGUAAGAACACGUUUGUCUGCACCCAGACGCGACACCCUCCAGAGCAGGGGAGAAGCCACCCCAGCAACCAGGAAGGGGCCAUGGAGAGGAGACUGGGAAGUCUGCUGGGGCUUCUGUGGCUCCAGGUUUGCUGGGUGAGAGGGCUGGAAGUGCAGCAGAGCCCUUCAGUCCUGAGUCUCCAGGAGGGAUCCAGCCCUACUCUGAGGUGCAAUUUUUCUGCUGCCGUGUACAAUAUGCAGUGGUUCCGACAGAAUCCUGGGGGCAGCCUCAUCAGUUUGUUUUUCAUGACUUCAGGGACAAAGCAGAACGGAAGGUUAAAUUCAACAAUGAAUUCUAAGGAACUCUAUAGUGCCCUACACAUCACAGCCACCCAGCUGGAGGACUCAGGCACCUACCUCUGUGCAGCAGAGGAAGCACAGUGCUCUCAGGCAGUCUGUGGCCUGAACCCAAACUGCAGCUGGGCCUGCAGCCACAGUCUCUGACCCAGGGAAGACUUGCACAGCAGCAUUUGCACAGCUUUAGGUUUCCUGAUUC